GAUGAGCACCCCUUUAUAAUUUUUGCAAUGUAUUCUUAGAAGAACAUUCUUGUCGCACACUUUAGCUUCAAAUUCAGGGAGUGGCUGCUCAUUCGGGCCAGCCAUCUCAUCUGAAGAUCUUUCAUCUUCAAGUAAGAGUUGUGAUCUCUUCACAAGCACCACAGACUCCAUGGUUUGUCUAGCAGCUUUCUCCUCCAGUGUCUUUACUCUCUCCUGAAGAUGUUUUAGGUACUCGAUGGCAUCUCCAAGAAUGGAACUUUUAUCCAUCUGCACCAUUAUAAGUUCUUCUCAGAGAAAACUUUGACAAGAUUUUGAUGUGUAAAUUAUGUAGUGAAAUGUCUAUGCAUGUGCGUAGUAAAGUCUGUGGGGUUAUCAUUGUCCGCCAUCUAUAAUGUUUUCUUGAUUCGGUAAAGAGCAGAGUGUCAAGUAGAAAGCAAAAUAUAGGCACAUAUUUGGCAUAUGAAUGAAGUUGUAGUCAAAUAAAAUUUCAUGGAGAUGCUAUUGUGGUAACCGUAAUUAGGCUACAUAAACGUGACAAUGACAUGAAAAAUGACUUUCUCUCAAACCCUAGUUAUGGAUUAUUUUCCUUUUCUUUUCUGCUUUUGGAGAAAAUAGAUGGUACUGCUCACCUUCUUGAGGCCAGGAACUAUGGCGGAAAGAGCCAUGAAUCUCUGGCUGAGCUGCUCGCGUCGCUUUCUUUCUGCUAUUAUGUGAUCAUAGGUUUGUGAUGGUGGCCUAACACGACCACCAGGUUUCUUUGCU
rnacentral:lncRNA from 1 species